AUGUAUAUAAAAUUUUCGUUUUCAGUGAUCAGCCAUUUAAAAAAAUGUCAAAAAUGUCUAUAAAAAUUCUGAAACCUACCAGCUGAGAGCAAAAUUAGGAGAAUAGUAAGGGAAAAUAUGUUCCGGAUAUUUUACAUAAACUAUAUUUUCCGGAUUUUUAAAAAAUGACCUGGAUGAUCACUAUACAUAUACUUUUAUUUGCAGCAGAAUUGGAUGUAAAGAACGAUUCAUUUUAAAAACACUACUUCUGAUCAAACUUUUAAAUUUAAACUUUAACUUAUGUAAACAACUGGAAGUUUGUUUACUAUUUUAGAAUUUUGUACAUAAUACUAUACACAGUACAAUCUCUCUAAUUCGAAUUUUGUAUGUAAAAAUAAGUUUAAAUUAAAGAGAUUUUUUAAUUAUAGAAAGUUAAUUUAUUUUCAUUAUACAUUGUAAAAAAGAUAGUUUUCAAACGUGUGUAAAAAUAUUGUUUUUUUUUUUGCCAUAGAAACUACCUUAAAUAAAUUAUUUCAUCUUCAACAGCAAAACUAUGCCAAGUACUUGUUUUGUUAACGGUUGCUCAAGUAGAGCUGACCGUGACAAGAUGUCUUUCCAUAGCUUCCCCGCUGUUAUAAAACAUCAAGAUAAUAAAACGCUAGAGUUGUCAGCUAAGAGGCGCUGCGAGUGGAUUGCAGCAGUUAAUAGACAAAAAAAACCAACCAAGUUCUCGAAAAUAUGCUCUGCUCACUUUAAUUCGGGUAAACCAGCUGCAUUAUAUGACGUCACCAGUCCUGACUGGGUUCCUAGUUUAUUAUUGUCUGCAUCAGUAAGGCAACCACAAGAUAAAAAGACAGACACCUUUACUCUCCACAGAACUUUAAAAGUUGCAAGAGGGUGUUUGACAAAAACAGAAUUAUCCAAUGUUGAAAUCAAUGUCUUCAGUAACCAUUGCAGUGGAAAUAGCGGCUUCACCAACUGAUGUAGUACAAGGAAGAUGAAAACCUAGGAACGUAAGAUUCAACAAAGACAGGUACUAUUGACAGAAUACUUGGUUUAACACCAGUGUCAUGCAGAAUUUGAAAAAAAUUGUUCAUUUCCGUAGCGUUGGGUGGUUCUACAAACGGAAGAGGCAGCAAUUGAUAUUGUCUAACAGGUGUCUGAGAUAAUUUACUAUCAAGAAUUCUUUUCAUGUUUGUUGCCGAUGUAAAAUUAAUGUCUUUUAGCUUAGAA
rnacentral:misc_RNA from 1 species